GGUCAAAUCAACUAUCGACCCAAUUGAUUUGCAGCCAUACUAAUAACCUCCAUUUUCUUUAUCUUGAAACCCGUCAUCACAAUAACCUAACCAAUUGGAAGCCUUACUAGUACCUCUUUCUUUUAUCAUGAAACUUAUGGUCACAAAAACUCUCCCAUUCUCUUAGCCUCAUUGGCUGCCAGCUCAAAUACAACCACUCUUCGAUCCCAUCUCUUCACACUAACCAACUCCUUAACUUAACCUUCUUGCUAGCAACACUAAACACCUUGUCAUCAUCCUCGAUCACCUCC
rnacentral:lncRNA from 1 species